GCUUCAGAGGUCUCUGAUGGCCCUGAGAUAUGGAUACCUGUGGUGUCCAACAUCGCAGUGAAAACAAUUUGCUUUUAAAAGGCAGAGGGUUUAGGGGAGAGUGGGAUGGGACAGUGGAGGCAUGGGCUCUCCCCUCCCCACUUCAGGCUUGGGUAGGUCUCUUAAUGCAACCCAAAGACAUCUGUCAACUUGGAGAUAAUUUGGCCCUCAACAGUGCCUCAAGUCUGCUAUGGCUUUGCAGGGCAGCAGUAAGAAUGUUUAAUAUAUAAUAGAUAAAAAUUUCAUCCAAAAAAAUAAAA